UAGGGAAUCUUCCGCAAUGGGCGAAAGCCUGACGGAGCAACGCCGCGUGAGUGAUGAAGGUCUUCGGAUCGUAAAACUCUGUUUUUAGGGAAGAACAAAUGUGUAAGUAACUAUGCACGUCUUGACGGUACCUAAUCAGAAAGCCACGGCUAACUACGUGCCAGCAGCCGCGGUAAUACGUAGGUGGCAAGCGUUAUCCGGAAUUAUUGGGCGUAAAGCGCGCGUAGGCGGUUUUUUAAGUCUGAUGUGAAAGCCCACGGCUCAACCGUGGAGGGUCAUUGGAAACUGGAAAACUUGAGUGCAGAAGAGGAAAGUGGAAUUCCAUGUGUAGCGGUGAAAUGCGCAGAGAUAUGGAGGAACACCAGUGGCGAAGGCGACUUUCUGGUCUGUAACUGACGCUGAUGUGCGAAAGCGUGGGGAUCAAACAGG
rnacentral:rRNA from 2 species